GGGGACAAAUGCAACUUUUGCAACCUACCUUUGAAGACCCCAUCAGCUUAAGGUUCCACUCUUGGAGUAAAUGGAGAAAUUUAUAACUGCGCGAUAACACCGCCCUGACCUUCUCUACUCAGCGUGAGAAUUAAUUACCUGAGGCCAGUCCUAUGGAACAUUGUGAAGGCACGAUUCAAAGACGCCAGCCAACCAUCUGGCACUUGAAAGAGGCUAAGAAAGCCAGUUCCAUGGACUCUCCCCAUCAUGGCAUCGGCGGUGAGGAAGAACACUCCUAAAAGAGUGGGGGCCUGUACUGGCAGCCUAGGGCUUAUCUGCAGGAUGGAAAAGCUUCCAGGACAUAAGCCCAUCACAGGGCUUACCCAGCUGCCUUUGAGAAAUGUUUGGGGUCACAUUGGCUAAAAUUAAGUACUUUGUGGUGAACUGGAUUUGACUGGAACUAAAGGAUCGACUUCCAAGCUCACUCCUGUGGCUGUCGGCAGGAGGCUUCAGUUCCUUACCACAUAGACCUUUCCACAGCAUGAGGUGGGGACUCAGUGAAAC
rnacentral:lncRNA from 1 species